UCGGGUAUCGUCUAAUGGUAGGACGUCAGAUUCUGGUUCUGAAUGUCGAGGUUCGAGUCCUUGUACCCGAGCCA
rnacentral:tRNA from 2 species